CCGCUUGCUAAGCUCCACCUACAAGCAAACAAAAACUACUGGUUGGAAAACAAGUCAAACAAAAACUACUUCUUUCGCUAUAUAUACAUGUACCUGUAGCUUGCUCUUCCAUGGAUUUGACUAUUUCCUUAACCAAUCCAAUUUAGCAAGCAUGACGAGUAACUUGGUAAUAAGCAGCCGCUGUUCCUUAUUCUUAACGUUGUUUUACUUGCUGGUUAGUGCCUCCCUUACAGCAACAUCAGCUCAAUGGGUAUGGCCGAAGCCAAGAACCCUGUCUUGGCCGAUCCCACUCGCCACUAUUCUCUCCCCAAACUUCACUAUCUCCUCCCCCUACCACCAACAUCUCUCCCCAGCCGUUAACCGUUACCGCCUCCAAAUCCUCACGGAACACCACCUCCCUCUCGUUCCUCCCCCAUUCAACCUCUCCAACUCAUCCCCUCCUUUGCAGGCCCUGACCAUCACUGUCAAAGACCUCGCCGCCCCACUCCAACACUCCGUUGACGAGUCCUACGCCCUUGCCAUCCCCACUGCUAGCUCCACCGCCAAUCUGACGGCCGAGACUGUAUGGGGCGCAAUGAGGGGUCUGGAGACGUUUUCUCAACUGGUUUGGGGAUUGAAACCAUUGCUUGUCCCUGUUGGGCUCGACGUGUGGGACUCGCCUCUGUUUGAGCAUAGAGGGAUCAUUUUGGAUACCUCUAGGAAUUACUACCCAGUGGAUGACAUUUUGAGGACCAUCAAAGCCAUGAGUGCUAAUAAGCUCAACGUUUUCCAUUGGCACAUUACCGAUUCUCACUCUUUUCCUUUAGUGCUUCCAUCUGAGCCUGCUCUUGCUGACAAAGGGUCUUAUGGGAAUGACAUGCUCUACUCUCCAGCUGAUGUUGCAACAAUUGUUCGGUUUGGUUUGGAGCAUGGCGUCAGGGUACUACCGGAAAUUGAUUCUCCAGCACAUACAGGAUCGUGGGCUGAAGCCUAUCCAGAUAUCGUGACUUGCGCAAACAUGUUCUGGUGGCCGGCUGAAAGCAAAUGGGCUGACCGGCUUGCAUCAGAACCAGGAACUGGCCAGCUAAAUCCUUUGAACCCAAAUACCUACCAAGUUCUAAAAAAUGUGAUUGGUGAUGCAGUUGCCUUGUUUCCUGAACCGUUUUUCCAUGCUGGAGGUGAUGAGAUCAUCCCAGGCUGUUGGAAAGCUGACCCGGCCAUUCAGUCCUUCCUAUCCAAAAAUGGAACUCUCAGUCAACUCCUUGAGAAAUUUGUGAACUCAACCUUCCCUUACAUUGUGUCCCUCAAUCGCACGGUGGUUUACUGGGAAGAUAUUUUGUUGGAUGCCAAUGUCAAGGUGGACCCUUCAUUUCUUCCACCUGAGCAUACCAUCCUACAGACAUGGAAUAACGGUCCCAACAACACGAAACUGAUUGUUUCUUCUGGUUACAGAGCUAUUGUCUCAUCCUCAGAGUUUUAUUAUUUGGAUUGUGGACAUGGUGGUUUUCUUGGGAAUGACAGCCAAUAUGAUCCACCACCAACAAGUGGUGGCAGUGGCAAUGGUGGAUCAUGGUGUGCACCUUUCAAAACAUGGCAAACCAUAUAUAACUAUGACAUAGCAUAUGGAUUGACUCCGGAGGAGACCAAAUUGGUGCUAGGGGGUGAAGUAGCAUUAUGGUCAGAGCAAGCAGAUCCAACAGUUUUGGACGUGCGGAUUUGGCCAAGAGCUUCAGCAAUGGCUGAGACUUUAUGGUCAGGGAACAGAGAUGAGUCAGGCAAGAAGAGGUAUGCAGAGGCAAUGGAUCGUUUAAAUGAGUGGAGACAUAGAAUGGUCAACAAAGGAAUCAGAGCUGAACCACUGCAGCCUCUCUGGUGCAUCAAGAACCCUGGCAUGUGCAACACAGUUCAUCCAAGUGAUUAGAUAAUUGUGUUAAUUGUCAGUAAGAUGCUUCAGAAUUGCUUUCCUGUUCUCUGUUUGGUGUCUUGAGGUUAUAUGCUUAGAAGCAUCAAAGCAACAGCAAAAAUUCAAUCCAGAGAAAAAAAAGAAAGGAAAAGAGAUAAAGAAACAAAGUACAGAAGGAAACUUCCUAAGCAGAAACUUCAACAUUCGUAGAUGAAGUUUUGUUGGCCUUGUUUCAUUAGAAGCUGUAGAAUAAGUAGAGUUUCUCUGUUUGCUACCAAAGCUAUCCAUUAACUGUUGUCUUUGCUACCUUGUUCACUUUAGUAAAAGGUAUUGGAUCCCAGCCUCGCUUUUGGUUUUUCGUUUUUUGUUCCUACUGGUGUAUUGACCAUAUUGACAAUAUGGUAAUUGUGAACUUAAUUUGAAAAAAGAAUUCAAUAAAGAAGGUUCAAGAAUCAAUGGACAUAAAAGUAUACAUGCAAGGCCCAGCUAGGAAGAAAUUUAAAGCAGUGUCAAUUGUUGCUGUUUUUAAUAGAAUUCAUCCUCAUGCAUUGUUUGCAGUCAACAGAACAUCACUAUAAUGAACAUACACUGUUUCCUGUCCACAAGGUGUAAGGUGGAGGUGGUCUUUCUUAUGGUCUUGGUUCUUCAGAACAAGGUUCACUAUAAAAUUGAAACAAGUGUAAAGGGAAAUGCUCCAAGUUAGUCUUAUCUCACCUUCUCCAGCGCCAUGAUCUCUCCAAGUGUAGUAGCGGCAGCAAUGGCUGCUCUCAUGAUGUUUCUUUUACUCACUCCACCUUCUGAGGCUGCAAUUUCUUGCAGUGAUGUAAUCAAGGACCUGAGGCCUUGUGUGAGCUACCUCAUGAAUGGCACUGGGAAACCACCUGCUGCAUGCUGUUCAGGAAUCUCAGCUAUUCAAGCUUCUGCAUCAACCACGGCUGAUAAGCAGGCAGCUUGUAACUGCAUCAAGUCAGCUUCCAAGCAAAUAAAUCCAAGCCCCCAGUUAGCACAGGCUCUUCCAGCUAACUGUGGAAUCACCUUGCCUUUCACUGUUUCACCCAAUGUUGAUUGUUCCAAGAUUACUUAGUUGAAAUGGAAAUGGUCUGGUGAAUGCUUUUCGAUCCUAUAUAUUUCAAGUGAAAUAGAAUAGUUGAACCUCAUUUCAUUCAUGUCUGCCUGUGUGUAUGGGAAGCUAAGGAAAAAUCGCAAAACAAAUAAUUUAUUGUGAAUGUGUUAAUUCUAUUA